ACAAUUGGUGGAACCUUCAGAGCUUUUUCCACAGAAAGCUUUGGGUACCUGAAACAGCGCAUUGAGCAGGUAUGCCAUGGAGAAGAAUAGAUUCAUAAACUGAAAUCUGAAAUUAUUGAUCUUUUCUAUAAUAAUCUUUAUUUUGGUUGUUAAACCUGAUGGCUUGGUUAUGAUUGUGUUAAACACCACAGAGGAUGUGACAUCAUGAAUAACUUGUUAGCUUACUAUACGUCAAACUUAACUUUUAUUUAUAAGUAACGCUAUAUUGCAUAGGAUCAACUAUAAGCUUAAAUAUUUGUAUAGGUAUAGUCAAGGAAAAUUGAGUGCAGCACUAUAAUAUCAUGAAUUUGUAUCUUAAUUAUUACUUCAUUCAGUCAUUAUUAGAUGAACUAAAUUUAUUAUAAUCAACUUGAAGUUUUGGUGCAUUAAAUUUUUUUUUUUUGACAAGAAUACUCUUACUUAGUUGAAGUUUCUCUCUAUUUCCACUCUCAAAUCUAACACAUUAAUGAUGAAUAGAAAUUAAGAAAAGUGGGUUAUGACUUAUGAGUAAUUUUGAAAAGUUGAUCUAAAUUGAGAACAAAUUUAAUGCUACCAACUACAUUUCUUAAGGUGUGUGACCGUGUAAGGUAGUUAUUUGGUUCAUAUAAUAAGGAGGGGGGUAUCAUAUAUAAAAUCAGGGCACUUAACUGAGAUUAGAAACAUAGCACACACAAACUACAGGAACUAUACUCUGAGGCAAUUUUUCUCUGGUGCAUCACGCAUAAAAGCCAAGCCAACUCAAAUGGGCCCAAAAUCUACUAGAUCUUUAUCCUUUUGUUGCCUUGUGUCCUGCUUGUUGCAAAUAGCAUGUUAACUUAUGGAAUGGAAAUACUACAUACAUUUACAUUUCUGAUCUUUCACUGCAAACUUGGUAGGGGCUAUAAGAAUAUUGGCUCAUUUAUGCAGGUUAUCAUUGGACAAGCUGCUGUGCAGAGGUGCAAUGCAACUGUCAACUUCUUUGGUGAAGUGUAUCCUCCCUAUCCUCCAACCAUAAAUGAUGGUGGCUUGCAUGAGCAAUUUCGUUAUGUUGCGAUAAAUUUGCUCGGUAUUGAUAAAGCUCACAUUGACAUGCCACCGAUGACAGCUGCUGAAGACUUUUCGUUCUAUCAAAAGGUGAUGCCUGGCUACUUCUUUUUUCUUGGAAUGCAGAAGGAUCACCGGGAUCAUUUUUUGCACUCACCGUAUCUCAUGAUCGAUGAAGAAGGACUUCCUUAUGGAGCUGCACUUCAUGCAUCAUUAGCUAUUAAUUAUCUUCAAAAAUAUCACCAAGACAGACCCAUGGAAGAAGGGAAAAAUCGUGAUGAAUUAUAACUGUUUUUAAUCAUUGUAAGCUUCCAGCCUUGUAUUGUAUAUUAAGUUAGAAUUUCCACUCGUAGAACGAUAAUCUUUUGCUGUUAUCACUUUCUUCACUGGACACGUGAGUUCAACGUGAAUAAAUAGCUUUCUUUUCUCUAGUACUCUGAAAUUGAUUACUUCCUCUUUUUAUAUCUGUCAAUUUUUACAGUUUUGACACAUAUUACCAACAAGAUUAAUGUUCUUUAGAGUUGGCAGAACUGUGCUGUGCAUUCUCAUACCACAUUUGGAGGGUAAGGAAUAGGCUGUACUUUGAGGGAAAGGAGACCCCGAAAGUUGUUUAAGCUCAUCAACUCGGGCAAUAGGUGCGUUUCAGCUUUAUGGAAGUUUUGAUUUAUCAAGAUUUAUCUUUUGCCCAGAUGCUACCGCAUAGGUUUGUUGGAUAUUUAAGAUGGAUAUGCUUCUUGGAUUCUUUCCCUGCAAAAAUUAUGUUGUCAUAUGCCAAUAGCAAAUGUAAUACCACCGGAGCUCGUGGAGCUACUCGAAUGCCAUGAAUAGAUUUUGCCACUAUUGCCUCUUCUGGACUUCAAUUAAUCAUAAUUGAAAAGGAAACAAAAGUUACACAACCCAUAACUAGACUAAUCCAAGAUGGAGGAAAGCCAAAUUAAGUAAGGGUGCUUUCCAUAAAAUGUCAUUCAACGCAAUCGUAAGUUUUAAACAUGUCAAGCUUUAAAGCCAUAUGUAUUUCCUACAACCCGCCCCUUAUUUUUCUUUUUUAUAAAGUGAAAGCAUUCAAACUCUACUAAAACAUUAUCUAUAAUGAGCCUAUUAUUAGGUACAAAAACUCUUUGAUUUUCAAUAAUAGACGGUAAAAUAUUUUUCAUUCUAUUUUCUAUUACUUUUGUGACUAGUUUGAAAAGGACAUUACAAAAACUAGUGGGUUGAUGCUUGCUGAUAUAUGUGGAAUUUUUGACCUAUGGAAUGAGAACAAUGACUAUGACAUUGAUAAAAACCUAGAUCUUUUUCGCUAUUAUAAAUCUAAAACACAAAAUUUGUACCCCUCCUGUGUGCCUGGGUCGGACACAUUUGAUUCAAAGCUUCUGCAACUUAAGGUAUGUAUAUUGACAAGAAAGAAACAUGCUAUGGUCCAUUGUAAUUCUGUUUCUAACAAGAGUUGAAGGAUCAUCACCCAUCAUGGUAGGUGAAGUUGAACUGAAGAGUUCUAUAAAAUAUGAGUUGAUCACCUCAGCUAUCUCCUCUUCCACAAAAUUUGAAUUUUUAAAUACUUUACACCAAACUCGUUCCAUUAUUAAACCUAAAUUCUAACUAGUGCCUAACAAUACUAUUAAAUACCUAAUCAUACCUCCAACACAUUAUAUUUAAUAUCUAACCAGUCAUCACUCUUCUCUUCAUUUCAUUCUCUCUCAAACCAAAAGAAACCAUGUCUUUCUGCAAAUGCUUCCAUUUUUUCAUCAUCAUUUUGCAAGUCUUUGCUGCAAUAGCCAUUUUCUCAUUAGCAGAUUCCUCCCUCACCCAAAACCAGCUCUUCACCAACUUCCUAGACACUGCCAAGAAGCCUGAGUUUUUUGAUUGGAUGGUCAAAAUCAGAAGGAAGAUACAUCAGUUUCCGGAAUUGCGGUACGAAGAAUUUGAGACCAGUAAAGUUAUAAGAACAGAAUUGGAUAAGUUGGGGAUCCCCUAUAAACACCCAGUUGCAGUCACUGGUGUUAUUGGCUUCAUAGGGACUGGAAAGUCACCUUUUGUUGCUAUAAGAGCUGAUAUGGAUGCUCUUCCCAUACAGGUAGGUUAGAUUCAUAAAUUGUAUAUACUUUUUUUUCUUGAUAUAUAUGCAAUAUGCUUGAAGCAGGGUUGACUUUUGAUUUCUGAAACUUUUAUGGGAUAACAAGAGCAUUGUUAUUUUUUCCUUUGCUCAAAUUUUAUUGACAUUUGACAAUGUAAAAACCCUAGGAAUUGGUGGAGUGGGAGCACAUGAGUCAAGUACCUGGAAAGAUGCAUGCAUGUGGUCAUGAUGCUCAUACUACCAUGCUUCUUGGUGCUGCAAAGAUUCUCAAACAGCAUGAACAAGAGAUAAAUGUGUGACUUUUAUACUGCCUUCUCUGUUUCCAUUUUCUUUCUAUUGUUCUGUAUACUGUUAUAUAUGUUCUGCUUUAUUUUUUAUUCGUUACUACUCUUCCGACAUGUGGUCACUCGCUCACUGGUCCUUACUGUGUGGGCAUGGUUUCUUACGUUUUUUCUCAUAAAACAAAAUAAAAAUUUGUUGCAUAAAUUCAAUUAUGUCAAAGCCAAGUAGUAUCUCUUCAGUUUCUGUCAAAGAAACAAAUUGCUGCCAAAUCAUUCAAUCAUGCCAACUUUUUUUAUAGUAAAUCACAAGCAUUCUAUCAUCUGUCAUACACAUCCUUAAUUAAUCUUCUUAGAUUUUCUUUUGACUAAAAUUUAGGGUAAGAGUAUGGUAUCCCAAUCCAAGAUAGGAACCGGACUUAAACAACACCUAGAGUAUACUUACAUUUACCACACCUCAAGUGGCCAAGUGGGGGCUUGAGACCUGUCACAUAUGAGACAUUGUCAUGCUUCACUCAACCAAUCCUUUGGGUUUACCUUUUUAUAGUUUAUGUUAGACCUAACUCUACUCCAGAAGUUAGUUAAAGUGAAGUUGCUCAACCCUUUAUCAGAGUACUUUGGUCAUAUCUCUAUUAAACAUGUAACAUCUCAACAAAUCUCCUCUUUCUAUUGUAAUACAAUCUAGAAGACACUAAAGAAGUUGCCCAGCUUAUCAUUCUACUAUACCAGGACAUUCAUCCAUGUCUGCCACAGUGCUACUUUUUCUCUCAAUUGCCUUAUUCUGCUCUCUUCACCCUAUCAUGUAUCCUUGAUAAAUUGGUUAUGUGCUGUCUAAACAGGGAACUGUUGUUCUUGUUUUCCAACCAGGAGAGGAAGGAGGUGCAGGGGCUAAGAAAAUUUUAGAAUCUGGAGCCUUGAAAAAUGUUUCUGCUAUCUUUGGAUUGCAUGUGUUACCUACUCUUCCAGUAGGUGAAGUGGCCUCUAGGUCUGGUCCUAUGAUGGCAGGAAAUGGUCGCUUUGAAGCAAUAAUAAAUGGAAAGGGAGGUCAUGCAGCUAUUCCUCAUACUUCUAUUGACCCGGUUUUGGCAGCUUCCAAUGUAGUUAUUAGCUUACAAUACCUUGUUUCUCGGGAGGCUGAUCCUUUGGACUCCCAGGUAAUUUUGGUUAAUUCUUCAUGUCCCCUUGUUUGCCAUGGUCACUCAUUUAAACUUAUUUUUGUAUGAUAUUCUGAACCCAUAACUAUGUAUGGAUAUCAGAAAGAACAAGUAAUAGGAAAAUAUUGGCAGAGCCUUAUGGAUAACAUUCAUCUGCUUCAUUCUGCCUAAAAUGACUUAUUAGCACUUUUUAACAGUAGAGGUAAUCUGAUACAGCCUUGUUUCUAAGAAUAUUACUACAUUCCAUUCAACAAACCAAGUGGUUAGCUGCCAGUGUUUUAAAUUGCGGUAGUGGUAGAGCAUCCAUGGUCCAUAUAGAGUGAGAACCAUUCUGUUAUUUGCAAGUCCAAACCUUUAUUAAUCCUUCUAAGUUUAUGGAUCACAAGGGAAAGGAUGGGAAAAAUGAGCUAAGAGUGGCGAGAAGCUUUUAGUAUACCAUCAGUGAAAAAGAUGAGAAAGAGAAAUCCAAUUACAAAACAAACUUUUACUGAUAACUGAGGAGUAUGGGAGCUAGACCCUUAGUGUGUGUGUGUGUGUGUGUGUGAACACUUACAUAUGUCAUAAUUAUUAUAUGUGAUAAUUCCUGAUUACUUAAAAACUUAAAGGCUUGUUUAUAACCAAAAUUCUCCUUGUCUUCCUUACAUUUUAUAGGUUGUGACGGUUGCAAAGUUUCAAGGAGGUGGUGCACUCAAUGUUAUUCCAGAUUAUGUCAUAAUUGGUGGAACCUUCAGAUCUUUUUCCACAGAAAGCUUGGAGUACCUGAGACAGCGCGUUGAGCAGGUAUGUCAUGGAGAGGAAUAGAUUCCUUCUACAUGCAUAAACUGAAAUUAAUGGUCUUUUCUAUAAUAUACACCAUCACCUUGCAAUAAUCUGUCCUUUUGUUCUCUAAUUUAUUUUGGUUGUUAAACCUGAUGGCUUGGUUAUGAUUGUGUUAAGCACUAUAGAGGAUGUGACAUCUAGAUUAAUUGGUUAUCUUUGAUAGGAUCAACUACAAGCUUCAUAUAGGGGUAGUCAAAGAAAACUUUGAGUGCCGCACUAAUAUCAUGUUUUUGUAUCUGAUUACUCUCAUGCAAAAAAUCUGGGAAUUUAUAACUGAGAGUAGAAGCAUAGCAUACACAAGCUACCGGAACUAUAUUCUGAGGCAAGGGCAGAACCAGAAAAAGUUGGAAGGGGAGGAAAUUUAACACGAUAAUGAUGAAUUAAAAGAGGCCACAGAAAAUAUUUUAGGGAGACAAAUAACGUUUGAAGACUAUUAAAUGAUUUCGUUCUCUUGGUAGGGGCUAAGGAUGGUUCAUUUACGCAGGUUAUCGUUGGACAAGCUGCUGUGCAGAGGUGCAAUGCAACUGUCAACUUCCUUGAUGAAGCGAGUCCUUCCUAUCCUCCAACUAUAAAUGAUGGUGGUUUGCACGAGCAGUUUCGUGAUGUUGCAGAGAAUUUGCUUGGCGCCAAUAAAGUCCACUUUGACAAGCCACCGGUCACGGCUUCUGAAGACUUUUCAUUCUAUCAAAAGGUGAUACCUGGCUACUUCUUUUUUCUUGGAAUGCAGAAGGCCUCAAAUGAUCACCGGGCUCACUUUGUGCACUCACCCUAUCUCGUGAUCAAUGAAGAAGGACUUCCUUAUGGGGCCGCACUUCACGCAUCACUAGCUGUUAAUUAUCUUGAAAAAUAUCUGCAAGAUGGACCCAUGGCGGAAGGGAAAUAUCGCGAUGAAUUAUAGAUGUUAUUAAUCAUUACAAACUUCCAGCCUAAGUUAGAAUUUCCACUUGUAUGAGUAUGAUAAUCUCUUGCUGUAAUCUUUCUUUUAUAAAAUAUUUUGAUAAUGUGAAUCACUUACUUAACUGGUUACUUCUCACUAACUAUAAUCUAUUUGUGCUGUUUAAUUUUCCGAAGCUCAUAUCAUAGAAAAAUGUUACUUUUUUUAUGAAUGUAUAAAGUAGACUCCAUUUCUUUUAUGUCUUAUGUGUUGGGUUAUAUAUUCCAAUUCUUUAAACUUCUAAAUUCUUGGCAGACGUUUUAGGAGCUUCAUUGUGCUAUUUACACUUGACAAAGCUUGGUUUAUUAAUCUGUUAAUUAGAUAAAUCCAUUUUAUCUGAAGUAUAAAGUACUUGAUAAUAUUUAUUUUGCUAGUAGUUUCUCUGUAUUCAGUUCCCGCAGACUUAAAGAACUAUAAGUGUGCUAAAUUAGAAGAAAUAAGUAGGAGUAUUUUGCAGUUUGUGGUGGUUACAACACCAGUAAAAUUUGAGUAUGAGUAUUGCUAAUACCUAAUGGUUUUUGUGGUGGUUAAUCAGGCCGUUUCAAACUGCCAGUACCGCCAUUCAACCAGUGGCGGUUGGUCAAAACUGCUGCAAAUUGAUCACCUGAGGCUGCUUUCUCCCAACCGCUGCAGUAUAUAUUUGCGGCGAGUGAAACCACCGCCGCAAGAUUUUUAUUAGUCUUUUCUAAUUUGCAGGUUUCAUUGAAGUGACGUGGCUGUUUCUUGUGUGGACUUAUUCCCCUUGCACAAACAUUUUCUUGACAAUAUGAUCGGCCAUAUUGAAGAUUUGUGUUGUGAGAAACAUAUUAAAUCCUUGGCAUAAUCUAAUGGUGGACGAAUCUGCACGAGCCAUUUUACCGUGAGUAUUCAACGCAUAAAUGUUGAUGUUGGGCGCACAUAUGACAAGACUGGAUGCACAUAUGCGCUCAUGUGUCACGUGAAGCAUCCCCAAUAUGAAAUUAGCUAGAACUUGUGCUACAAGCCUAGCAAGACUCGUAUGAAAUAUUAUAUUUGAAUAGCUCAACUGACCAAACUAUUAUCCGAUUAGUAAGAUCCAACUUAUAGAUUACCUGUCUAAUGGGUUAAUCCGUGUGAACCAUAAUCUUGCGGGUUUGAAUAUACUGCCUCAAUCUCCUUGCAAUUACAAUUAGGGUGAAAACUAUUUUUCUCAAUUUUUGAUAUAUGAUUUUUUGACCUUGCAACAUUUUGCUUACAAAGUAGACCACAGCCUUUUCCCCUCAUGAAUUUCUCAAAUUAGCAUGACAUUUACCGUCUCCUCAUUGAUCCCUAGGUAGAUGAUGCUUGGCCAGAAUUGAUGCUAACCCGGAUAACUUGCUUUUCCCUAUCAGCCUGCGGCGGCCUGCCUGUCACACUUUGAUGACUUUUUUACCUGGGUAGUGUAAAUUUGGAGUUUAUUUACCAAUCUAGUGCAACUUUUAAAAUAUUUACGAGACUAGCGUAAAUCGUCACUAGCAUCGGCGAUAUAUUUUUUUUUCUUCUCAGCUUUUGGAGAAAUCGCCAAUGGGACUGACGAUAUUCAAUUUUUUGUGGUAUCGUCAAUGCGGUUGGCGUUAAUAUUAUAUAUAUAUAUAUAAUAUAUAUUAAAAAAAAGAGUAUCGCCAUCAUGAGUGGCGAUUUUAAUCUUUUAUAAACAAUUUUUUUUGUUUUAAGCAACAACGCCAACACCAUUGGCGACUUCUUUUUAUUUUCAAUACUAAAAACAUAAAUAUAAUAGCCCUGAUUGCAUGCAUGGAUGUUUUUUUUUCUUACAUGCAUCCAUUUAAUAUAUAUUUAGGUUUUAAAACUAUUAAGUAUUAACUACGUCAAGGUGGAAAAAAAAACAGAAGGAAGCGAAUCCUAUAAGCAUUAAUGGUUUAAAAUUAAAAAUAACACCAACACUAACUGCGACACUUAAAGAAAAUAUAUAUAUAAUAUUUGGUUAACGCCAAUCUCAACGGCGAUACUAGAAAAAUAUAUAUAUGUCGCCACGGCUGUUGUCGAUUUAACUCAAAUGAAAAAUAUGAAAAAUAUAUAUAUAUAUAUAUAUAUAUAUAUAUAUCGCCGAUGCUAGUGGCGAUUUACACUACAUCCGUAAAUAUUUUAAAAGUUACACUAGAUUGGUAAAUAAACUCCAAAUUUACACUACUCAAGUAAAAAAGUCCACUUUGAUGAAGAAAAUUGCUUCGCCAGCUAACCGGGAUCACUGUGUCACGUAACGUGAGUGUAGUCUUUUUCUACUUUUAGUUUUUGUUUUCUUCUUUCCCCCUUCACAUAAUCUGACAUAUAACCAGUUGUUUUUAAUGCUUCCCACAUGUCGUUUUUUUUUGGUAGAUACAUGUCGUUGAACUUGAUAGCGCUCUGAGAAGUUGUUUUUUUAUGUCUAAAUUACUAAUAUUUAAAUUAAGGAAGUACAUGCGUGUAACACAUGGGUUUAAAAUACAAAAGUUCUGAUUUUUGAGUGCGUGUAAUUUUGAUGAGUUUAGACCGUCAAUCCACUAGAAUUUAAAGAUGCAUCACAUCAUAUCAAUCAAAUAAAUUAUUUUUGGCCUAAUUUUUUCAAAAUUCCCAAGGGCAACUUAUUAUUUUUUCAAACUCUUGAAAAAAACGUAGUAUUUAAUUUGACCAGCUUGUUUUUUUUUUAAGUUUUCGCAGCGUUUGGUUGAGAGUUUGAAAAUAAAUUCGAAGGAAUGAUAUAUUUUUUGAAAAGAGAUUUAUUUAUUUCUUUAAAAAAUAGAGAUUUAUUUAUUUAUUAGCCUAUGUGACAGGUCUUCUUAACAAAUGAAGCUCAUUUUCAUCUUAAGAACUAGUGGAAUUACCCGUGCCCUGCACGGGUGACUUUUGUUAUUUACAAUUUAAAUUUCAUGUAAUAUUAUGUUUUGUAUCUUUUUAGUAAAUAUACUUUAACAAUUGUUUCAACUAUAUGUUAUUAAUAGUGAUAAUUGUGUAUUAAUCUACCACAAUUUUUACUUAUUUAAAUAUGAAAAAAAUUAAAUAUUUUAAAUUAUAAGACUUAAAUUCACUCAAAUUUUUAUAUAUGCAUUAAAUCAGUAUUUUAAUUUUUUAAUACAUGUUUAAUUAUUAAUAUUUGAUUGAUUAUUUUCAAUAUCAAUGUUUCUAUUUAUAAUUGCAAUAACACUAAUAAUAAUAUAUAUAUUUUGAUUCAAAAUGUUUGGUGAAUGUGCAUUUCCUUAAGGGAUUUCACCUAGACUUCUGGCCCGGGUUCGAUCUCCUCUAAGGUAAAAUAUAAUACAUUUGUGGUUAGGGACAUCACUACCGUAUCCCGAGCCAGAUUACUCACGUUGGGCCCUUUUCCCCCGUGGUGACUGGUGGGCUUCUCUUAUUUUUGAAUAAACUCUCAUGUGACUAUUACUUUUAAGUUUGAACCCGUUCCCCUUUUUUGUCUUUGGCUCUUCGAUCGUACCUUUGGUAACCACCGCCUACCAGGGACGAUGGAGGAAAAAUUCAUUUUAUCAAUCCAAGCAGAUAAAUUGAAGGAUUUUCGUCUUUCCCCUUCAUGAUUUAAAAAAGUGGUGAAACAAUAUAUGAUGGUAAAUAAAAAAUGGAUGAAUAAGUAAUUAAUAGGAUCAUGAAAUAGGGGCUUCAUAACCGAACCAAACCAAUUAAAACCGCUCAAAUCGAUCAAAAAAACCAAAAACUGAAAAAACUGAAAACCGCAAAAAUCAAUAUUUUGCUAAUGGAUCGGAUUGGUUUUCAGUUCCAAUGUUCUAAAUUGAGCCGAUCCAAACCAAACCGAAAGUAUUUAUUUAUUUAAAUUUUGACAUACAUAAUUAGCCAUUUAACAAAACUUAUAAUAUUUUAUUCCAUGUAUACCCAAGCCUUUACAGUAAUGUGUUUAACAUUUUCCAAGUUAGGAGACAUAUGUCUUCUUUUCAUUCAGCGAAAGUGAAACAUAUCAUUGCGUACAUAAUUCAUUUCUUACAGUAUUGAUGUUAGUGUUAAGCAUGAUAUCUUGUCUCUGUAACUUUUACAGUGCUUCUUGUUUUAUGAUUUUAUUUUCUAUUUCGUUAUGUAUUUCAUGAUUUUUAGUUUCUUUGAAAAACUGAAAUCCAAUCCAAUCCAAACUGAUAAAAAUUGGAUCAGAUUUGAAAAAAAAAAGAUUGGGUGAUUAAAUUAUAAAACCGAAACGAUCGGAUCAGAUGAUUUUUUCCUUUAAAACCAAAUCGCGAUCACCCCUAUCAUGAAACAUGAAAUAAAUCAUUUUACACAACAAAUAAAAAUGAGUGAAUAAGAGGAUAAUGUAACCAAUAAUAAACUUAUAAUAUUGCGAAUUUGCGAUCAUAUAGUGGUGGGGGAGAAUUAAAAAAUAAAAAAUGGAAAUAAAACUCUGAAAACAUUAAAUCAAAAUAAGAUAAACACAAUGCCACAAAGAACGUGUGAAAGAGAAUGUUAUAGAUUAAAGAAAUAAUGUGAGAAAUGUCUCAAAAGAGAAAAUGAAUUCUCUAACCAAUGCACAUGUAUAGCAAAAUUAAUUAUUUUUGCAUUAAGAUAAAAUUAAAGCAUUACCUUGCACAUGAUUGAUAAAUUAUUUUUCUCUAUAGUUGUUUUAAAUGAAAGAAAAAUUGAAGGUGAAAGUUCCUUAACAUGAAAUUGAAUAAAGAAUUGAGAAACAGAAAAAUGAAAGGGAGGAAAGAGAGGAGUAUGAAAAAUAUGGAAGAAAGUUGAAAAUACUUACCAUGGAGUAGACGAACGGAGAAAAAAACAGGAUGGGCUUUUUUCAUAAGAAAUUUCAAAGAUGGGAGGAAGAAGUAUAAGAUGAAUAGGAAAUGGAGGAAAAUGAAAGUCCUUGCCUUGUUUUCGAGGAGGUAUGCACAAAAGGAUGCUGAAAUAUUUUGAUUUAUUAAUGUUUAAUUUUUUCCUAAAAUAAAAUACUCAUUAUUGGUCAAUGAAAAAUUAAUCAGAAAUUAAACAUAUCAACAAAAUUAUUUGUAUUAAAUGUUCUAAGGAUUCAUUAAUUAAAUUAUAUCAAAAUGUUAUAGAUUAAAUAAAUAAUGUGAGAAAUGUCUCAAAAGAGCAAAUGAAUUCUCUAACCAAUGCACAUGUAUAGCAAAAUUAAUUAUUUUUGCAUUAAGAUAAAAUUAAAGUAUUAUCUAGCACAUGAUUGAUAAAUUAUUUUUCUCUAUAAUUGUUUCAAAUGAAAGAAAAAUUGAAGGUGAAAGUUGCUUAACAUGAAAUUGAAUAAAGAAUUGAGAAACAGAAAAAUGAAAGGGAGGAAAGAGAGGAGUAUGAAAAAUAUGGAAGAAAGUUGAAAAUACUUACCAUGGAGCGGAGAGAAAAACAUGAUGAGUUUUUUUCAUAAGAAAUUCCAAAGAUGGGAGGAAGAAGUAUAAGUUGAAUAGGAAAUGGAGGAAAAUGAAAGUCCUCACCUUGUUUUCGAGGAGGUAUGCACAAAAUGAUGCUGAAAUAUUUUGAUUUAUUUAUGCUUAAUUUUUUCCGAAAAUAAAAUAUUCAUUAUCGGUCCAGGAAAAAUUAAUCAUAAACUAAACAUAUCAACAAAAUUAUUUGUAUUAAUGUUCUAAGGAUUCAUUAAUUAAAUUAUAUCAAUUUAAUUUCGAAAAUGUGGAAUAUUUCAUUUUAAAAAUUCAAUUCUUUAAUUAAUCUUGUCUAAUUUAAUUAAAUUUUUUUCGUUAUUUCUUACAAAUUAUUUCAUUGUUCCAAUAAAUUAUCAAUUCUUGAGCAUCAAGGUUUUUAAAAAUUGAAUUUCAAAAGACAAUUAAUUAAACUCAUUAAUUUUAGGAAUUAAUUAGAGCCAUUAAUUUCAAUUAUAAGAAAUAAAAAUUGUAGUAUCUAAAAUAGGAAUAUUUGUUCAAUUGCAAAAUUUUCGAAAAAUUCAAAAUAAAAAUAAAUGAUGCUGAAAGUUUUAAAAAAUAUAUUUAUUUUAGUUUCAAAAAUUUAUUUGCCAAGGAAAUUUGAAUUUCAAAAAAAAAUUUAAUUUAUCUUUUAAAAUCAUUUUAACCAUGAUAUUACAGAAAAACAAAUAAAUUAAUUUUAGAAAAAUAAAAAUUAAAAGAUCCAAUAUUUAUUUCUAUUUGAAAUAAUUACGAAUAUUUAUUAUAAUUAUUUAGCAUAUUAUUAAUUAAAAUAAAAGGAUUCGAAGUAUUUUUAUGAAUCGUAUAUAUCUUAAAAAAGAAUUUAAGGGAAAAUAAAAAUUGAAUUUUUUUAAUUAGAAUUGAUUAUUUUCAAAAAGUUUAAAUCUAAUAAUGAAUUUUUAAUAAUGAAUGAAAUGAAAUAGUUUAGAGAUGUUCAUGUAUUGUAUAAUGUUUUCGAAAAUAUGGAGGGGCAGAAAAUAAUAUUAUUUGGAAUUUAUAUCCUUACUUUGAUAGUUUUUAUAAGUAUUAAUUAUGUUUUAUUCUUAAAAAAUAUUUUACCUAUAUUAAACUUAGCAAUUAAUGUGACAAAAAAAAGUGGAAAUAUAUAUAUUUUUGUUUUGGAAGGAAAAUGAAUUACUUAUGAGACAUGUGGCACAGGUCUUCUAGAAGAAAACCUUCUUUUCAUAUAUAUAUAUAUAUAUAUAUUGAAAAAUUAAAAUAACAUUUACGUUGAAAAUUAAAUUAAUUUUAUUUACUGAUUUUUUAUUAUUUUUGUUCUAUUUUCGAAUUCAAUUUGUUUUAUUAUAUUAGAUAUAUUUUCAAAUAAAAUUCCUAGUGAAGGUUACAUAAAAAAUUGAAAUUAAAAAUCAAUAUUAUAUAUUGAAAAUCUGUACUUUCGUAACACAUGAAAAAUUAAAAUAAUAAUUACGUUGAAAAUUAAAUUAAAUAGUAUUUUUUCCGAUUUGAGAUUAUUUUUGUUUUAUUUUCGAAUUUAAUUUUUUUUCUUAUCAUAUUUGAUCUGUUUUCAAAUAUAAUUCGAAGUAAAGGUUAUAUAAAAAAUCGAAAUUAAAUAUUAAAUAUUAAAAAAUUAAAACAUUAAUUGCAGUGAUAAUUAAAUUAAAAAGGAUUUAGAAUAUUUUUGAACUUCUAAAUAAAGGUUACAUAAAAAUUGGAAUUACAUUAAAUGAUAUUAAAUAGUGUGAGUCAUGAUAGUGUGUUGUGACAAAAAAGUAGAAUGAGUUUUUUUUUCUUGGAGGGAAAUUGGAAGAAUUUGGGGGUGACAUGUGGCAUAGGCUUCUAGAAGGAAACAUUAUUUUCAUAUAUAUAUAUAGAUUGGGGGUUUGAAUUACGUUGAAAAAAGAAAGAAUUGAUUUUAUAUUUGUAUGUUUUUAUUUGAUUGGUGGGGUGUUAAUCAGUAUAGUAAGUGAAUAAUUAUGAACUGGACGCCGGCGCGAUGGCAGCGGCCGGUGAGACAAGCGGGGAAUAAUUAUGAACUGGGUCAAGGUUGGCGGCAGCCUUAUUAUUCAUGGGGAACCAACAUUGACCGAUGGCAUAACAAUCAAACAGAUAAGGGAGGAUUUCGAGCAAGACAGUGGCAACAUGAAGGUGGCAGAUCAGAGAGGUACAAGUCGAAAUGGAAACAGACAUUGUAUGAGAACAAGGGUGAUCCAAGGACCACACAUCCAGGGCACGAAUCUGAGCAACAAAACAGCGAACCCGUAAACAAUGCAUCACAACGAUUCAAGCCACAACAUAUAUCCUUUUCAGUUUUUGUGGAUGGCCUGGGAGACAGGAUGACGUAUCAGAAAUUGCAGACCACUUUUGCGAAGGCUGGGAAACUCCAUUCUGUAUUCAUUCAGCAGAAGAAGAAAUAUCAUCGACGCUUUCGUUUUGGCUUCUUGCGAUUCAACAGCGACGAUGAGGCAUGGAAGGCGAUUCAGAUGUUCCAUGGUCAGAGAUUAGAUGGAAAUUACCUUGUGGUCCAGAAAGCAAAUAUACAACGCCCGCCACGAUCGCCUGGGGUGCCUUCAUCAGGAAAUAAUAAGGUUGAAACCAAAAGGAAAAUUUGGAGACCGAAAGCAAAGCAACAUGACACAGUUCAAGAGCCUCUCCAAAUAAAUAAGGAUGUUUCUGGGCAGAUGCAAGGUGCUGUUAAGCAACCUACUGAAUGUCAGCUGCGUCUUGUUGGCGCUGAUUUAGAUGUAGAAUGGGUCAAUAGGUGUGCAAAGGCACGCACUCUGCUGUCUAUGCCUGUGGAAAUUUUACAGGAGCAAUUCAGGCAAAUUGGUUUGUUUAAUUUUCGACUGAUUCCAUUGGGUGCAGAUGCAGUUAUUCUGGAAUUUGAAACUAAGGAAGACAUGGAGGAGACAAUUGCAGAGUGCAGUUUCUUUUUAGAGCAGAAGUUAUACGAUGUACAGCCUUGUACUGUGCUUUCAUUUGGCGUGGCUCAGCUUGUAUGGAUUCGUAUGUGGCAGGUUCCGUUGGGAUUAUGGACUGAAUCCUUUUUCACCUCUGUUGGGAACAGGCUAGGGACAUAUGUAAUGUCUGAUACUGCCACUCUGUUACACCACAGAGCUGACUUUGCACGAAUUUUGGUUCGGAUGCAUCAUCCAAUUUUGCACAGUUUUACCAUGGCGGUUGAUGUUAAUGGUACAACCUGUAUUGUUUUGGUUGAGAAGGACCCGACAGUAUAUGAUUAUGGGGUUGUAGAAGCUAUGCCAUCGACACCGGUCAAAAUCUACAACUCAGAGGAUGAAGAAUGCAAUGAUGAAAGCAGCAUGGAUGAGAAGGAACGGGAAGCAGAUAUGGUUUUCACUGGUGCAUCAAAACCUGAUGCAAAUGACUAUGAAUCAGUGGUUGAUGUAGGGACCGAUGAAGAGGAUGAAGCAUUCAGGGAUGGUGCUGCAGAGGGUUUGCAGGUUUGGGUGGAGGAGCAUGUCCAAGCGCAGCCAAUUGUUUGUGUGGAGGAGCGCAAUUCCUUGACGGCGGAGGGAGAGGUGCCGCAGAUUCAAGGAUUUUCAAAUUCAAACAGCAAGGCAAAAAUUCAAACGGAGACAGCUACUAUUUCACGUGAGAAGCGUGAGGAACAGUUACAGGUGCUGGUUGAAUCAAGAUACACGUUACAGGAGAUUAAUAUGUGGAGAAAUAAUUUAAAAACAGAAGAUAUCUGUUUAAAUGCUAGCCAAAUCUUAGCUAAUUCGGUUCAAAAUAAGGAGAAGGGAUUUUCAGUUACAGGAUAUUCCUUUGAUACUCAAGAUUUGAACCAGAAAUUAGUUUUUGAUUGUUCUCUUAAUUCUUUAAAGCGGGACCCGUGUGUGUUUACUCAAAUUAAAAGGGUUGAGCCAUGUUUGCCUUUCAUGACAACUAAAGAAAACGGGUUUUAUGGCCUAGCAGCAACUUCUGCAAAUUCUCCAGCUUCUGAGGCACGUGGAAUAACUGAUAUCUUUGUACGUAAAACACCUCAUCAGAUAAUCAGGCAGCGAGCAAAUCCUCAAGCAACAGCACGCCUUGCUUCUUCUCCUCAAACGCACUCUCCACCGUGCUUCCCCAUCACGCAUCAGGUUGGUCCAUUUGCUGUUAACGCCUCUGUGACUCCGAUACAGGCAGAAACACCAACAACAAAUUCCUCCAAAAAGAGUUCUCAGCGGGGACGUCCAAAGGGGAGUAAAAAUAAACCGAUAGCUCUCCCAGUUGAUUUCUUAGAGCCAGUGCAGGGUGAAGACGGGGUGACAACUCGAGCUCAGAGAACCUGGUUACUUGGUAAACAAUUGGGGCUGAAACCGCGAGGAUCAGAAGCUUUGAUGCUUCGUGGUUUAGAGGCUCAGAUUCGUCAAAAUCAUCCCCAUCUCAUUUAAUAUGUCGGGGUCGUGGUUGACUUGGAACGUUCGUGGGCUUGGAGAUAGAACAAAAAGAGAGGCAGUCAAAAAGGCAGUGAUGCAAUUGAAACCAGAACUUGUGUUGUUACAGGAGACUAAAUUAAAUGAACAAAGGCAGCGUACAUUAGCUUCUUGGUCUCAAAGCUUGAAUAUGCAGCAUGCUGAAUCUUCCUCUGUUGGCUCAGCGGGGGGACUGAUGUGUUUGUGGCGGGAGAGUUAUCUGCAGGUCUUGUCAGUGGCAGUUGAAACAUGGUUUAUUCUUAUGACUGUGAAACUUCCUAAUCUUGAUAAUACAGUAUUGGUAGGAAAUGUCUAUGGCCCUCAUUCCGAGGCGGAACACAGAUAAUGUUUUGAGGCUCUUAUGCAACGUGUUAUGCGCCAUGGUGGUUUGGUGUGUCUUGGAGGUGAUUUUAAUGUAGUUCUGCUUGGAUCUGAACGGUCUUCAAGAGGUGUUUUAGAUGCGGGAGAUUUAUCCUUCCAACAGUUUGUGCAGGAUAGUAACUUACUGGAUUUGCCUCUGACCAAUGGAGAGUAUACUUGGUUCUCAAGCCGCAAUGAGGGGCUGUGUCUCGCCUGGAUCGUUGGCUGUUGUCUGAAGAGGUUAUGAGAAACGUUUUGGGGCUGCUGCAUAUUUUUCCAGCUGCUGUUUUGCUGAGAUAUCGAAAUUUGCUAAUUGCUGUUAGGAGCUUGCUGUUUUUAUUGUUGAUGUAUGCUGGUGCUGAUGUUAAUUUUGUCGUUGAUGUUGCUGCUGUUGAUGAUAUCGCUGUUGUUGUCGUUGCUGUUUGCUGCUGAUGUUAUUGCUGUCUUAGUUGCUGUUGCUGAUUUCUGUUUUGCUGCUGCUAUUACUGGUAUUUCUGUUGCUGUCGUUGCUAUGUUGUUGCUGCUGUUGCUGUCAUGUUUUCUCUGCUGUCGUAGAUAUCUAUUCUGCUGCUGUUGUUGCUGAUAUUGCUGUUGCUGUCGUUGCUAUGUUGUUGCUGACGGUGCUAUCCUAUCAUUGAUGUUUUUCCUUGCUGUCUUGCUGAUGCAAACCGCUCCUGUUUGGUUUAUGUGAUUUUGCUGUUUGGUUUUGGAGUUUGUUUUAUUGAUGACUAUUUCAAGUCUGCUACUCUGCAAAGGAAUAUCUACAGCGUCAGCAUUAAAUUCGAGCUUGUUAAUUAGUUUUGGUUUAGUUGCAGUUUGGUUUUCCCAUGUUGGUGGUACUCUUUUUCCUUGUUAGGUUUUUAUCCCAUUGGGUUUUUCCUAGCAAGGUUUUAAUGAGGCUCCUUCUUGGGAUUCUGUUAUAUGCCAUUCUGUGGGUUGGUGGUGGGUUUGUGCACUUUCAAUUUGCACCUUUGCUAUUGUAAUGAUCUUUCUUGGACAUCUUGUACUUCCUUCAAUCUUGGGUCAUAUUUUAGGCUCAGGCUUUAUUAUUAAUAAUAUACAUUUCGCUUUCAAAAAAAAAAAGUAAGUGAAUGAUUUUACUUUUUAAGGAUUUUAUUAUUUUAAUAGUUUUUUCAAUUUUCAAAUAAUUUUUUUUAUUUUAUAAUAGGACUUAUAUUUUGGUUUUCUAUUAAAAUAUUAAAUAAUAAAAAAAUAUUUUAGUUAAAUAAGUUGAAACAAGUACUUUUUAAAACCCAUGUAUGAGAAUUAACGCUAAUACCCUACUCGGAGCCUGCACACUUGAAUGGUAUGUUUGGCUUGGAGAGAAAGGGAGAGGAAAGAAAAGUGGAAGGAAAGAAAGAAAGAGAAAUGAGAGGAUUUUUAAAGUUGUUUAGUUGGAGAGAAGGUGAAAAGAAAAGUGGAAGAAAAGAAAAAGUUGUACUUAUAAAAUAACAUAAAUAUCCUUAGAUAAAAAGAAAUACAAUAACUAACUAUUUUAUUAAAAAAAGUAUUUUUAUACCUGUAUUACGAUUUUAAGUUUAUUUUUAAUCUUUGCAAUAAAAAAGGUUGAUUUUAAUUUUUUUAAGUAAAAUAUUUUCGAACUAUAGAAUUUAAAAAAUGACGGAAAUCUAUUACUAUACAUAAACUAAUCAAAAUGAAAAAUAAUUGGUGAACACCUAAUAAUAACAAAUGCCCACACAACUCAUGGUUUGUGAGGGAUUAGAAACCGCCACAAAUUAGUUUUUAACCCUACAAACUAAGGGAGGGUCUUUGUGUGUUUACUAUUUGGGUGUUCAUGGUCAGGGCCGGCCCUGGGCCUGUGCAAGCAGGCCCACAGCCUAGGGCCUCCAAAAUGAGGGUGCCUCAAAAAAAAAAUUGAAUACCUUUUACAGUGUUUUUCUUUAAGAAAGCGCUGUAAAUAGUCCGUCUUUUACAGCACUUCGAACCGCUGUAUACUAUUUUACAGCGGCUAGAGGUCCGAAGCGCUGUAAAAAGCGUUUUUUAAGUUUAAUGUACCUAUUAAACUUUCUCCAAAAAAAAAUUUAGGGGUCCAUUUUUAUUAUUAACACAGGGCCUCCAAAAUGUCGGGACCGGCCCUAUUCAUGGUUAACUAAUCAUUUUUGAAUCAAAAUAAAUAAAAUUAUUUUUAGAAAGAAUAAAAUAAAAUUAUUGGAACAUAAGGCACACGUGUUUUUCAAUGUGUAGCUCCUUUUCUUUCCAUUUUGAGCGGAAGCAUUUUGGGGUGGGACCCACUUUAUUUUUUCUUUCUUUCCUAUUUUGUAAAAAAACAAAACAAUACAAAAUUGGAAAGAGGCCCGAAGAUAACUCCUAGCGGACACCGAAGAUAUGGAAUAUCUAACGAGGCCCGUAGAGUGGGACCUACCCCUCUUCUAUUUAAGAAAGUUGUUUGCCUUAAACUCUUCAUUGUGGUUUUUGAUUCCUUCACUUCAUUCUAUCUCACACCAAAAGAAACCAUGUCUUCCUUCAAAUGCUUCCAUUUCUUCAUCAUCAUUUUGCAAGUCUUUGCUGCAAUACCCAUUUUCUCACUAGCAGAUUCCUCCCUCACCCAAAAUCAGCUCUUCACCAGUUUCCUAGACACUGCCAAGAAACCUGAGCUUUUUGAUUGGAUGCUCACUAUCAGAAGGAAGAUACAUCAGUUUCCUGAAUUGCUCUAUGAAGAAUUUCAGACCAGUGAACUCAUAAGAACAGAAUUGGAUAAUUUGGGCAUCCCCUAUAAGCACCCAGUUGCAGUCACUGGUGUCAUUGGCUUCAUAGGGACUGGAAAUCCACCUUUUGUUGCCUUAAGAGCUGAUAUUGAUGCUCUUCCCAUGCAGGUAGAUUUUGAUACUUUUGAUUUCUGAAAUUUUCAUAGGAAAGAGUGUUGUUUUCUCUUCACUCAAAUUUUAUUGACGUUUGGUAAUGUAUAAACUUCAGGAAAUGGUGGAGUGGGAGCACAUGAGCCAAGUAGAUGGGAAGAUGCACUCAUGUGGUCAUGAUGCUCAUACUACAAUGGUUCUUGGUGCUGCAAAGAUUCUCAAACAGCAUGAAAAUGAGCUAAAAGUGUGACCUUAAUUUUAUACUGCCUUCUCUGUUUCCAUUUUCUUUUUUAAUAUUGUUAUGCUCCCUCCUCCGGUCAUUUUUAUAAGAAAAUUUUGAUAAAAUCACACAAACCAAGGAAACUAAUCUUUUUUAUAAAAUAAACUAUUAUGUUUAAUUUCAAUGAUGUAUUUUCCUUUUCACAAGAACAAUCAUACUAAUUAUCAUAAAUGUUGACAAUACCUAUUGGGUGCUUUUAAUUUCCAUCCAAAUUUUUUCAUGGGGAAUAAGUCUCUUUGCAUUGGAAUGAAUUAUUUGACUUAAUUUUAUAAGAGUGUUUCUUAUAAAAAGGACAAAAAAAAAUUACUAAAGUGUUUUUUAUAAAAAGGACCGGAGGGAGUAUGUGUUUAGCUUUAUUUAUCCAUCCUAAAAAAUAUAUAGCUUAACCAGUAAAAGCUAAGAUGUAAGUGGCGUGUAAUCGUGUAUAGACAUUUUGAAGCCUAAAACGAAAAUGUCGAAGUUAUUUUUUUAAUAAAUUACUAAUUUUUUAUAUUAAUCUCCACUUUCUAAAAAAUAAUAAACAAUAGAACCUUGAAUAAAACAAUGAGAAAUUUUGUAAUACUUUAAUAUUUUGUAUUUCGUUUGAUAAUUCACUUCAAGUUUGAAACAAUGAUUUUUUUUUAGAGAAGAAACAAUGAAUGAAGAACAAACUUGUACAAUAUAUAAAUAUAUAAGUCAUAAAAAAAAAUUAAUGGUUAUAAGUAAACACAAUUUUUUUCUCUCAAAUCUCGAUUGUAUAUAUCAUAUAUGUGUGUACUAAUUUAUUUUUUAGAAGCCUAAAACAACCGAGGGGCCUAAGACCAUUGUCUCACUUGUCUGAGGCCAUACACGACCCUGUGUAAGUGCAAAGACCAAUCCCUGCAAACAAAGGAUAAAACCCCUCCCCGGAAUAAAAAAGAAAAUCGGUGGUCUCUACUCUGGCCCUUUUGAAUUUUGAUGACUCUAAAAAAUAACAAAUAAAAAAUUAUUGCAUAUUUUCAAUUAUGUCAAAGUCCAAUAUCUCUUCGGUUUCUGUCCUAUAAGCAAAGUGCUGUCAAAUUAUUCCAUCAUGCCAUUUUGUUUUGGUAAAUUACAAUUAUUCUGUCAAAUUGCAUACACCUUAGUUAAUCCGUUUUAUCUGAAUUGUCUUAUGUAAUUUGCUGUCUUCAUUCUCUCAUCAUGGAUCCCUAACAAGCUAACAUUAACAAAUUCAUUACUUUGAUGUCUAAACAAACAGGGAACUGUUGUUCUUGUUUUCCAACCAGCAGAGGAAGGAGGGGCAGGGGCUAAGAGAAUUUUAGAUUCUGGAGCCUUGGAAAAUGUUUCUGCUAUCUUUGGAUUGCAUAUGGCACCUACACCUUUACUUCAAGUAGGUGAAGCGGCUUCCAGAUCUGGUCCUGUUAUGGCAGGAUCUGGUCACUUUGAAGCAAUAAUAAGUGGAAGGGGAGGUCAUGCAGCUAUUCCUCAUUCUACUAUAGACCCGGUGUUGGCGGCUUCCAGUGUGAUUAUUAGCUUACAACAACUUGUUUCUCGCGAGGCUGAUCCUUUGGACUCCGAGGUAAAUUUGGAGCAACUACCCUUUAUAAACACUUAUUAGUCAUAUCUCUAGUCAAUGUGAAACUUCUCAACAGAAGACUUCUUAGUUUACUUACAAUUUCCCCUGUCUUCCUUACAUAGGUUGUGACUGUUGCAACAUUUCAAGGAGGUGGUGCAUUCAAUGUUAUUCCAGAUUAUGUCACAAUUGGAGGAACUUUUAGAGCUUUUUCCAGAGAAAGCUUGGAGCACCUGAAACACCGGAUUGAGCAGGUUAUCAUUGGACAAGCUGCUGUGCAUAGGUGCAAUGCCACUGUGAACUUCUUUGAGGAAGUGAGUCCUUUAUAUCCUCCGACUAUAAAUGAUGCUGGAUUGCACGAGCAGUUUCGUGAUGUUGCGCUGAAUUUGCUUGGCGCCGAUAAAGUUCACUUUGACUUGCCUCCAGUCACGGCUUCUGAAGAUUUUUCAUUCUAUCAAGAGGUCAUGCCUGGCUACUUCUUUUUUCUUGGAAUGCAUAAGCCCUCAAAUGAUCCCCGGGCUCAUAUUUUGCACUCACCGCAUCUCUUUAUCAAUGAAGAAGGACUUCCUUAUGGGGCUGCACUUCAUGCAUCAUUAGCUGUCAAUUAUCUUCAAAAAUAUCAGCAAGACGGAUCCACAGUGGAAGGGAAAUAUCGUGAUGAAUUAUAAUUGUUAUUAAUCAUUAUAAGCUUCCAGUCUUAUAAAAUAAGUUAGAAUUUCCACUUGUAAGAGCAUCAUGAUCUCUUGUUGUAAUCCCUUUUAGGAGUGGGAGUAAGGUUGGAGCAUAUAACAUAGCUCUACUUGAGUUGUCAAACUAAAUAAAUAAAGCAGUCUGCGACUUUUUAAAUUGGGUUUCUAGUUAUAGGAAGUCCAACAUAUUCAAUCUAUCUCAAUCCUUACCUAUUAGCCUAUAAUAUUUCUCACAUGUGUUAUAGAUAUGUUUGUUUUAGUAUAUUGAAGCUUGUUAGCCUAUUGUCAGGGGCUUUGUACACAUAAGCAUUAUGAAACAUACCUUUAAAUAAGUUACCAUACCAUACUUUCAAGUCACACUUAAGCCUUAAAAUUCUGAAGCAGGUCAUGCCUAUUUAUGCAGAGCAUAGCAUGACCUAUCCUAUUUUCAAUGCUGAUUGUUUUGUAGCAGCCUCUUUUAGUUUUGAUGUUCCGAGUCGAUUUGUUUGGAUUUCUGAUUUCUUGACAUUACUGGAGCAUUGUGUUUUGUCAUGUCCUCUUUUAGUUUUGGUCUUCCAAUUGUAGAUUUGUUUGGAAUUCUGAUUUCCUAACAGUACUAAACCAUUGCGUUUAGCACUUUUUUGUUCGCAAAAUUAGUUUUGAUGUGAGCUUCAAGAGUUAAAGAUUAUUCAUGGUAGUUCCUACAUUAUGCUACAAGGCAGAGUGAAGUAUUUUAUUUAGUACUUCUGUGUUGGCAAAAUUAUUUUGUUUUCUCAUUGUUGCCUCAUUUUGGAUUCACCUCUUUCUCUGAUAUUUGCAUACUUUAUCUUCUCAUUGAACUGCACCAAAGACACUCUUUUAUGGACUUACUUAUAGCUACAUACAUGUUUAGUAAGAUAUGGCAGUGAGGAGUGCAUGUGGGCUGACAUAAGAGGGAGUAUAAGCAUGGGAAGUGGGCCCUGACUCUUCAGUACCAUAAUUGUACUGAAUAUUUUCUCCACAUUCUGAGACUUUCAUCAGGAUCCCCUAUUAUGCCCUGGCCUGUUCUGAGUCCAGCAAAGUUUAUAUAACUGGAGAUGGUCUGCUCUGCUCUCCAUCUUAACUAAUUAAAACUUAAAUCUAUUUUUUACGCUUAACUUGAAUUCAAAAGUGCCUCUUCUUGUAACAGAAAAAACUUAAAUUCUAAUGUGUACCUAUCAAUACUAUUAAAUUAUUUUCUUAUCUAUCUAUCUAUAUAUAUUAGAAAAGAACAACUUCUAGCAUGACGUGUCGCUCUCACAGGCCAAGUUAGUGACGUGUCGCUCCGAGAUUAAUUCUCACUUAAUUAUUUACACGUCAGCUUUUCCACCUAUUUAAUUAUUUACACGUCAGCUUUUCCACCUAUUAAUUUUCGGAUUUUUAAUUAAUUAAGGAUUUUAUGAGUUUUUAUUGUGAUUUGCUAGAUUUUGAUAGUUUUUAUCUAUAUUUAUUUAGUACCUUUUUAAAAUUUAGAUUUGAUUAGGAUUUAGGUUGUUUAUUUCUUGAUUUUAUCUUAAUUUAUCUUAUUAUUUAUUUUUAGAGUAUUAUUUAGCUUUUAUCUCUUUAAUGUGAUGAUUAAUGAACAUUUGCAAGAAGUUGUAUUUUCUUUUUCCAAAAAAAAUGUUUUGAAACGUCUGGAUUCCCCAAUUUUCUGCAAUCAUAAUGUUUAUGACUGUAUUUUUUUUAAUCAUGAUGCUCAGAAGAACUCUCUUCUUUAGAGCAAAGGAAAAUGAAGAGCAUUUGCACCUUGAACGAAUCAAGGAUAAGUCAAAACUUUUUCUUUUGGAGGAUGGUGCUAGCAAAGAUAGAAAACACAAUGUAAUGUUAAAAGCUAUUGAAGCUAUUGCUGGAGUCAGAGAAGAGGUGGCAAACUGUUUGAGAUGGUGAAACAUUCUUCCCAUUUUAUUGUUGGUAAAAAGAUUGGAGAACAUGUAAGGUUUUCUGCCCCUUUCAUACUUUCUGAUAUACUUUGCACCUAAAUUUUUGGUUUCAAGUGUGAAAAUGAAGAGCAUUCUAAUGUUUCUCUCUUUUCAGAAUCCUAAGUUUUGUUGUUAAUCCUAUUUAGAAAUCCAUUUACUCCAUCUUGGUCUAAUGCCCAUGGCUGCCGUAGCCAAGCCUCAGUAUUAAGAUACCUUUGGUGGAUGUAUGAGUAUUUAAUUGUUGCAAAUUUGAACAUUGACCUACUUAUCUUACCUCUUUCAUACAACUCUUUACAUAUCUAUUUGCUACUUUGAUUGUUAGGAGAGAUUUUUAACAUUCGAACAAUUUUGACAAUUGGUAUCUAAAGAAAGCUCUAUUAGUAUGACCUUUUUAUCUUCUUUUUGUCUUCUUCACAAGUUAACCAGAUAGAGAGGAUGAUGCAGAAACAAUAUUACACAAACGAAAAUCAGUGACUUAGAUAGAUAAGUGGCUUAGUUAGUUUAACUUUAGUCCCUCUGUAAUUAAGUGAUUAGGUUAGUUAUCAUUUAUGCUCACUAUCUAUCUGAUUCAUUUAUGAGGUAGUUAGUAUUAUAAAAACCUGUAGCAUUUCAGCAAUUGAGAACCUGUGUUUUGGUUUUCUUUCAUUUUUUAAUCUUAUUGUUUUGAAGAGUGAAACACCGAAAUGGUAUGGCAGUGAUACUGUUAAUGUGCUUAGGGAACGACAUUGAGAAAAAGUUUUAUGAUUCUGACUUCCAUAAGCUUAGGGGAUGGCAGUGGUCACUGUAGAUUAAAUUAGCUAUUGGUUAUUAGCCAUCAUUGAUUUUAUUCCCUGAUUAUGUCUCUGAUAGUAAUUGAAAAGUCAAAUUACUAUAAAUGUUUUAUGACCUACAUUACUCCAUACUUACACCACCCCCUGAUUUCUCCUUUUGGUCCUUCUCAUGAUCUAUCCCCCUGAUUUCUCCUUCUCAUAAUUGCACAUAACCUAAGUUAACUCCUUAAUACAAUUUAAAAAUGGCAAGGUAGAUGUCCAGAUAGGUUUCUCUUGGUGAACUUCUAUGCCACAAGAUGAUGGUUUCAAGGAACUGUGAUAAUCUUGCUUCUGUUUUUUAUAAAUACUUAUCUACAUGUAUUUGGUCAAGUCAUUGGACAAUGCAGAGUGUGUAAAAUUGCAGCAUGGUUUGUUUUUUUUUAUUAGAGCAAGUGCAUAAUGGUUGGUGAAAGUCAUGUAGAGAUUACCAUUUCUGUUCCGAAAACCCAAAGCUGUCGGAGCAACUUUUUAUGGUUGGAGGAGCUUACUAAGGUGACUUAUACUGAACAAACAUGGGAGGAGAAGGAUGUUUAUGGUAUUCCUUGAGAGAGCUUGAACAUAAAAGAGGUAUGAGAAGCAAGCCAUUGAGAGCAUGGUCCCUGCAAAUUCCCACUUUUUUUUGUAUUUAUUUGUCUGCAGACUGCUAUUAAUGCAAGGCAGGCCUUCCUCUUUUUACUAACCUGAAUGAUCUCAGUCAUAGAUGCUUGCAGAUACUCCACCAUUCCUUCUGUUUCAUUCUCAUUUAUUUUGAUCUCUAAUUUGUUGUGUUUGGUCAUUGAAAAGAAGUAAGAAUUUUUAAUUUCUUUAGUUUAUCUUUCAUGAAACUACUAUACAUCAUAUCAAUGACUAUAUUAGUUAAAUUUUUUCUUUUAGAAUGUUAACUCCAUAUGCCUUAUUGCUUGAUUAGUUUAUAUAGUUAAAGGAGCUAUAUAAUAAAAUAGGUUAAAGAAAUUAUAAGGUUAUUUAAUUUCUUAAACUUAUGCUCCUCUGUUAUUGAUACUAUGCCUUUUUACUUAAUUUAUUGAUUGAUAAUUAUAAGGUUAAAGGUAACAUCUACAUGUUGUGGUAUGAUUUUUUCUUCUAAAUAAUGCUAAUUAUGUACACUGGAGUUUAGUUUCUCUUUGUUUUGCCAUUUAGACUGCAUUUUUGUUUAUUUUUUGCUGUUGUUUUUUGUUUAUUUUUUAAUUUGCUUUUCUCUUUCUCUAACAAUGUGGUUUAAGGCAGCAUAGCUUCAUUUUUUACUUCUUUUAUGUCCUUUUUUUAUGUAGCUAUGUGUCAAGAUUUUCACUUUGAGGCCAACCUUUUAACUGCAACAGUGAAGCAUUUCACUUUGAGGCUAACCUUUUAGCUGCUGUUUAUGUCCUGUAAUAACUUUUAGAAGAAUAAAAUCAAAUCAUUGAAGCAUAUAUUUUAUGCCAAUAAAAUACACAGAUGAUUUAAACUGAUUGAUUAUUUCUAUUCCCUUUGGACUUGGGAGCAAAGCUCCAACUAUAUAAGUAGGGUUCAAGAAUUUGACUAUUGAAGUUGCGGCAAAGCUUUGCCAACCCUACCAAGUUCUUCAUUGAACAUUGUAGAAUCAGUCCUUGGUGCAUGUGGGAUUAGUACUUUAAAGAGAACAAAUCUCAUAAUUGUGAAUAAUGUCUCUGACAUUGUUAAAGCAGGAUGGUACUACAAACAGGUUAUCCAUAGACUGGAUGGAAUGGAACAACAUUUAGCAAUAGUUUUUUAUAGGUAUUUGACUAUUCUAUGCAGCUUUUCAUUUUAUAGCCCUUUUGGUUUUGGGCAGGAUGACCCUUUAGGGUGGUACAUAAACUUCAACUAGAUAUCGUGUAAAUUAAUGUCAAUGGAUGCUACAGGGGUGCUACUCAUGUUGGAUGGAAUGGAACAACAUUUAGCAAUAGUUUUUUAUAGGUUAUUUGAGUAUUCUAUGCAGCUUUUCAUUUUAUAGCCCUUUUGGUUUUGUGCAGGAUGGCCCUUUAGGGUGGUACAUAUUUUUAUAUAGGACGAAUAACAUAAAGUUCAGCUAGAUAUCAUGUAAAUUAAUGUCAAUGGAUGCUACAGGGGUGCUGCUCAUGUGUUUCAUGUUCACAACAAUUACUGCUUUGGAGCUUGCUUAAAAUAUGAUUGGCCUAAAAUAAUCAUUUUAUGUUUCCCUUCCUCUUCAUUUUUGCUAAGAAAAGUCCCUCUCAAGUCACAAUAAAAGUGAGUGAAAUUCAUCAAUUUUAGACUGCCUUUCAUUUGCUCUUUUUGUUUCAGGGGAUUUGACAGCUUAUGGUAAUUGAUUGGAAUAAUUGCUCUCUCGGACUAUUACUAAAAGAGAAAGGUACCAUGCUCUAGCUCUUUCUGUCUGUCAUCUUUUACUAUAUAUUAAUCACUCAUUAUCUUACCUGAUAUAUAAUGUUAACAGCGCGUCCUCUUUCAAUUCUUAAUUUGUUUAAUAACUUCUUUUGUUCAAUCCAUGGAGUAUGUAGACGUGUUCCCUUGCUAUGUUGAAUAUGUAUUUAUAUAGUGACAUGCCAAUCUAUUGAUUUAUUUCAAAAACUGUCCAUAGAGGUGGAUGCUGAGUUAGUUUCUUUAUUGCAAGAAAUCAGGAUUAGAAUGUGCUAGCAGCAGGUUACCUAUUUAAUCAGGAUUUAGAGAUCCUAUAUUUUCUGUUUUCUUCAAAAUAUCUGAAUUUUUAACAUAUGCCUAAGUUUUGGCUUCUUUACACUAUUCGUUGAUAUUCUGUGGUGAUUUUUCAGCAAAAGUAUAUUCUGAUUGGUUUUAAAUAAUCAUUUUAUGUUUCCCUUUCUCUUCAUUUUAGAUCAAAUAUGUAAGCGGCUCAUAUGAUUCUGGGAAUGUCUUCCUCUUAUUGAAUAAAGAGAUUUCAGAGCAUGAAUAUUUGAAAAUAGUAUAGAGUUCAUCGCUGAGACUUUUCUAUUGGUAACUUUGGUAACUCUUGCUUUUAAGUUUUGGUAAAUUUGCCCACACUUCAUAUUUUCAAAAUUGGAUUUGUGAAUAUUGUUGGAUUUGUCACUUAUUACAGAUUUCAAAUUUAUUUAUAAAUCCCGAUAAAUGCAGUAUUUUAUAUGCUUUGUGUUGUACCCUUUUAAGUUUUUGUGUAAAUGAUGGGUUGCUUGAUCCAAAUCUGGUGCCAAAAGAUGUCAAACUAGAAAUUCUAUCGAAUUAUAUUUUUAUGUCUUUAAAACCUUUUGUUUGUGCUACAUCUUUUUAUGCUAUAUGUUUUUGGUUUUUCUUGCACGGAUAAAACUAAAGUUAUAAAAAUAGUAAUUACUAAUCUGGUGUGAAUAUUUGAUUCAAGCUUUGAUUGAGAUUUAAGGCUUUGUUUUAUAACAGCUUUUGAGAAAUGAUUUAAUUGAGGCCAUGCCCUGUGAAAUGUGAUAUUUUACUUUUUUCAAAUAUCAAACUCUAGGUUUGCUUUUGGGUGAUAUUUAAGCUUAACUAACCACCUUAUUUCAAACUCUAGGAGGUAUGACUCAAUCUUUGUAGCAUUGGGGAAAAUUGGUCUGACAAUAAGUGUUUGGUGGAUUUUUCACCCAAGAGGAAGCUUUGCCAGUUUUCAAGAUUGACCAAGGGAGCUUCUUUAAACGGUCUUGAAGGUCUCCUCCUUGAGCCACCAAGAGAGGCUCUUAACAAUUCAAACAAGAACUUGAAGAUCAAGUACCUGCAGGUACUACUGAGCGCGACAUGCAUAUGUUGGCUUAAAAGGGCUCUUACCAUAAGAGUAGUUGAGAUAAACAUGACUCAUUUAUUUUAGAUAUGGCCAAGAACUUAGGAUUGAGCAAGCAUAUAUGAAUAUUACAAUUUGAGAUUUGUAGGACGAGAUGUUUGAAGGUUCUAUAUUUUAUUAUAUUGUUACCUUAAAUCACAUUAGAAGGUUUGACUUGCGUUGGGUUUCACUCGAAGUAAAGCAUAGAAAAAAGAACGUCAGGUAAGCAUACAGAGUAAAAUGCUAGAUACGAAGAGCAUACUCUAUGUUGUUGAAUUUCGUAGUUCUUGGACAUGGUGUUGGAAGGAGUAAACGUCUUCCACGAAGGGAUAUUUUAUAUGAAAAUGAUUGUGUUAAAAUUAAUAGAAAAAAAUUAAUAUAAUUAAUUUUAGUAUUUUUAAAAAAAUUUAAGAGGGUAUAUUUAUAUAUGUAUAUAACUAUAAUAGUUUGAUAGUUAAAAUAGUAUGAGGAAUAAAAAAUAUGAAUACAUAUGUACUAUAGAUUUAUGACCUAAAUUUAUUAGUGCUAACAUAUUCGAGUUAUGAGAUCUCACGGGAAGGAACAUUUUACAUGAUAAAUGAAAAAUGUGUACACAUAGUUAAAAAAACAUUUUUAUAUAACUUAAGUGUAUUUUUAAUAAUGUAAACAAUAAUUAUAUAUUUAUGUAUUGUUACAUAUCUAAAACACAAAAGCAAUACCCUUUAUGCAACACAAGUAUACAUCUUCGCAACCAAAAUUCAGUUUUUUAUUUAUUGUAAAUCAUGUCAAACAAAGCAUCAAAGGUUGUUGGCAUCACUUCCUUGCGGAUAAACUGGGGAUCAUGGCUUACAUGAGCACAGAGCACACCAAAGUGGAUUGGACACCACAUUUGUCACUCAAAACCUUAAGGCAAACAAAAUUCAGUUAUACCUCAUAUAUGCAAAACUUAAAUAUUUUGGCCUAAUAACUUUUGUGUUUUUCAAAAUCUUUAUAUUAGUCUAUUCAGUGUAUGCUUACAAAAUACUAGAAUUGAGUGUCUAAAUUUGUGCUCUUUAAAUAUCUACAUCUUUAUUAUGAUUGUUCUUACAUUCUUAGCAUUUUAAAUAUUUUAUAAUUUAAAAUAUUAAUCGAUGUAUCAAAUACAAUAGACAAAUUUCCCGUGCAACGCGCGGGUAAAAAACACUAGUUAAAAAUAAAUAAAUCAAUACUACUAAACAACUCAUAGUGCCUCCAACUCAUAAUUUUUGUAGGCUUAAUAACACUUUUGGUCCCUCACAUUUGCCAUAUGUGCGAAAAUCGUCCCCUAAGUAAGAAAAUAGCAAAAAUAAUCCCUCACUUUGUUAAACGACAACAUUUUCGGUCCCUCGUCACUAUUCCGUUUACUUUCAUUCAAAUUUUAACGAUUUUUAGAAAUAAAAAUAAAAAUAAAAAAUAAAAUAAUAAUGUAAACACAGAAAAAUAUCAAUAAUCAUCUUCUUCCAGCAUAAUCUGCAUCAAUUUCAUCUUUAUCUAAAAAUACUAGAAAAACUCUAUGCUUCUUUCCUCACCAUCUCUUAACACUGAAAAAACCCAAGAAAAGUUCCUCAGAAACCAUGGGUUCGACCAUCUCUCCAAAACAUCAUAAAUUUUAUGGGUUUUCAUUUUUUUUAUUUUUUUAUCAAUUUUAUUCAGAAAACUGUUAAAUAUUUGACAGAAAACGUUAGUUUAUUGACGGAACAGUGAUGAAGGACCAAAAGUGCUGCCGUUUGACAAAGUGAGGGACAUUUUUUGCUAUUUUCUUACUUAGGGGACGAUUUUCACACAUAGGACAAACGUGAGGGACCAAAAGUGCUAUUAAGCCAUUUUUGUAACAUCUCAUUUCCUAUGAUCUUUAAAAGAAACAUCUCAUUUCCUAUAGCAAAGCCAAUUUAUCUCGUACUCAUCUAAAAGUGGAAAGGUUUCAUACCCUUUAGGUUUAAUUUGCCAUGAUUUCUUCUAUAACAAAUUUUUAUAAUUUGCGACUUAGUUAUUUGUACUCUAAAUAAUGAACCGAAUGAUUCCAAACCCUCUCAUUUUGAAAGGGCGCACGAUCAAUGCCCCAUAUUUAAUAUCUACAACUGAACACUCUUCUUUUCCUGCUCUAACUCUUGUUAUUGCAAAAAAAACUAUUGUUAUUGCAGGUAUGUGCACGUAAGUGCCUCAAACAAUUUUCUAAAGCACAAAUUCUGUUAGAAAGCAUUGAAGAGGCGUGGCCCGUGGAGUGAACCUGCAUGCCGCUCUGUUCAAUUUAAGAAGGUUGUUUUCCUUCAUUUCAUUCUUCCCACACCAACAAAAACAAUGUCUUCCUUCAACCGCUUCCAUUUUUUCAUUAUCAUUUUGCAAGUCUUUGCUACAAUUCCCAUUCUCUCAUUAGCAGAUUCCAGCUCCCUCACCCCAAAUCAGCUCUUCACCAACUUCCUUGACACUGCCAAGAACCCUGAGCUUUUUGAUUGGAUGGUCACAAUCAGAAGGAAGAUACAUCAGUUUCCGGAGUUGGGCUAUGAAGAAUUUCAGACCAGUGAAGUGAUAAGAACAGAAUUGGAUAAGUUGGGGAUCCCCUAUAAACACCCUGUUGCAGUCACCGGUGUUAUUGGCUUCAUAGGGACUGGAAAUUCGCCUUUCGUCGCCUUAAGAGCUGAUAUGGAUGCUCUACGCAUGCCGGUAACUUUGAAAAGUUCUAUUUGAAUCAGGGUUGACUUUUGAUUUCAUUUGACAAUGUAUGUAUUAAACUGCAGGAAUUGGUUGAUUGGGAGUACAAGAGUCAAGUACCUGGAAAGAUGCACGCAUGUGGUCAUGACGCUCAUAUGACCAUGCUUCUUGGUGCUGCAAAUAUGCUGAAACAGCGCGAACAAGAGAUAAAUGUAUGACCACAAACAGUUUCUGAUAAAUUUCUGUAUACUGUUAUACUUAUAUAUGUUCUGCAUUGUUGUCUUAUUUUGUUGUUUUCAUCCUCUCAUGGAUCAUCACUUUGAUGUCUAAACAAACAGGGAACCAUUGUGCUUGUUUUCCAACCAGCAGAGGAAGGAGGUGCAGGGGCUAAGAAAAUUGUUGAAUCUGGAGCCUUGGAAAAUGUAUCUGCUAUCUUUGGAUUGCAUGUGCUACCAACGCUUCCAGUUGGUGAAGUGGCUUCUAGAUCUGGUCCUUUAAUGGCAGGGUCUGGUCGCUUUGAAGCAAUUAUCAAUGGAAAGGGAGGUCAUGCAGCUCUUCCUCAUACUGCUAUUGACCCGAUUUUGGCUGCUUCUAAUGUAGUUAUUAGCUUACAAUACCUAGUUUCCCGCGAGGCUGAUCCUUUGGAACCCCAGGUAAAUUAUGUUUAUUAAAAAGUCUCAUAUUGACUAGAGAUAUAGCUAAUAAGUGUUUAUGAAGUAUAAAACAACCCUCACCUAAGAGUUAGACCUACCGAAUUCUAAGAUUAUUUGCCAUGGCCACUCAUGAUUUACAUUUAUUUAGAAUCCUCCUUUGUCUUCCUUACAUAGGUUGUGACAGUUGCAAAGUUUGAAGGAGGUGGCACAUUCAAUGUUAUUCCAGAUUAUGUCAAAAUUGGAGGAACCUUCAGAGCUUUUUCCACAAAAAGCUUGGAGUACCUGAAACAGCGCAUUGAACAGGUUAUCAUUGCACAAGCUGCAGUGCAGAGAUGCAAUGCAACUGUGAGCUUCUUUGAGGAAGUGAGUCCUUCAUAUCCUCCCACUAUUAAUGAUGGUGACUUGCACGAAAAGUUUCGCGAUGUUGCAGAGAGUUUGCUUGGCGCUGAUAAAGUUCACCUCAACCUUCCACCAGUCACUGCUGCUGAAGACUUUUCAUUCUAUCAAAAGGUCAUAC
rnacentral:lncRNA from 1 species